rnacentral:rRNA from 1 species
AGUGAACGCUGGCGGUAGGCCUAACACAUGCAAGUCGAACGGCAGCACAGUAAGAGCUUGCUCUUACGGGUGGCGAGUGGCGGACGGGUGAGGAAUACAUCGGAAUCUACUUUUUCGUGGGGGAUAACGUAGGGAAACUUACGCUAAUACAGCAUACGACCUACGGGUGAAAGCAGGGGAUCUUCGGACCUUGCGCGAUUGAAUGAGCCGAUGUCGGAUUAGCUAGUUGGCGGGGUAAAGGCCCACCAAGGCGACGAUCCGUAGCUGGUCUGAGAGGAUGAUCAGCCACACUGGAACUGAGACACGGUCCAGACUCCUACGGGAGGCAGCAGUGGGGAAUAUUGGACAAUGGGCGCAAGCCUGAUCCAGCCAUACCGAGUGGGUGAAGAAGGCCUUCGGGUUGUAAAGCCCUUUUGUUGGGAAAGAAAGGCAGCAGGUUAAUACCCCGCUGUUCUGACGGUACCCAAAGAAUAAGCACCGGCUAACUUCGUG